AGUGAACGCUGGCGGUAGGCCUAACACAUGCAAGUCGAACGGCAGCACAGUAAGCGCUUGCUCUUACGGGUGGCGAGUGGCGGACGGGUGAGGAAUACAUCGGAAUCUACUUUUUCGUGGGUGAUAACGUAGGGAAACUUACGCUAAUACCGCAUACGACCUACGGGUGAAAGCAGUGGAUCUUCGGACCUUGCGCGAUUGAAUGAGCCGAUGUCGGAUUAGCUAGUUGGCGGGGUAAAGGCCCACCAAGGCGACGAUCCGUAGCUGGUCUGAGAGGAUGAUCAGCCACACUGGAACUGAGACACGGUCCAGACUCCUACGGGAGGCAGCAGUGGGGAAUAUUGGACAAUGGGCGCAAGCCUGAUCCAGCCAUACCGCGUGGGUGAAGAAGGCCUUCGGGUUGUAAAGCCCUUUUGUUGGGAAAGAAAAGCAGCAGGUUAAUACCCCGCUGUUCUGACGGUACCCAAAGAAUAAGCACCGGCUAACUUCGUG
rnacentral:rRNA from 1 species